rnacentral:rRNA from 1 species
UGAGUUUGAUCAUGGCUCAGAUUGAACGCUGGCGGCAGGCCUAACACACGCAAGUCGAACGGUAACAGGAUGUGCUUGCACAUCGCUGACGAGUGGCGGACGGGUGAGUAAUGCUUGGGAACUUGCCUUUGCGAGGGGGAUAACAGUUGGAAACGACUGCUAAUACCGCAUAAUGUCUUCGGACCAAACGGGGCUUCGGCUCCGGCGCAAAGAGAGGCCCAAGUGAGAUUAGCUAGUUGGUAAGGUAACGGCUUACCAAGGCGACGAUCUCUAGCUGUUCUGAGAGGAAGAUCAGCCACACUGGGACUGAGACACGGCCCAGACUCCUACGGGAGGCAGCAGUGGGGAAUAUUGCACAAUGGGGGAAACCCUGAUGCAGCCAUGCCGCGUGUGUGAAGAAGGCCUUCGGGUUGUAAAGCACUUUCAGUUGUGAGGAAAGGUUAGUAGUUAAUACCUGCUAGCCGUGACGUUAACAACAGAAGAAGCACCGGCUACCUCCGUGCCAGCAGCCGCGGUAAUACGGAGGGUGCGAGCGUUAAUCGGAAUUACUGGGCGUAAAGCGCACGC